rnacentral:tRNA from 1 species
GUACCCUUAGCUCAGAUGGCAGAGCGGACGGUGGAAAACGCCGGUCGUAGGUUCGAGUCCUACAGGGUACA